rnacentral:rRNA from 1 species
UACGUAGGGGGCUAGCGUUGUCCGGAUUUAUUGGGCGUAAAGAGCGUGUAGGCGGCCAUGUAGGUCCGGUGUGAAAACUCGAGGCUUAACCUCGAGAUGUCAUCGGAAACCAUUUGGCUAGAGUCCGGAAGAGGAGAGUGGAAUUCCUGGUGUAGUGGUGAAAUGCGCAGAUAUCAGGAGGAACACCGAUGGCGAAGGCAGGUCUCUGGGCAUUAACUGACGCUGAGGAGCGAAAGCAUGGGGAGCGAACAGG